AGCAACCAGUGGUGCCCAAGGGUUGGGAGGAGCGAGGGAUGACUAGGCAUGCGUGAGAUGUGUUUCCCACAAAUCUUCUUAUGACAUUGGCACAUUACCCAUCUGACA